rnacentral:rRNA from 1 species
CCUACGGGUUGCACCAGUGGGAAUAUUGCACAAUGGGCGCAAGCCUGAUGCAGCCAUGCCGCGUGUAUGAAGAAGGCCUUCGGGUUGUAAAGUACUUUCAGCGGGGAGGAAGGCGAUAAGGUUAAUAACCUUGUCGAUUGACGUUACCCGCAGAAGAAGCACCGGCUAACUCCGUGCCAGCAGCCGCGGUAAUACGGAGGGUGCAAGCGUUAAUCGGAAUUACUGGGCGUAAAGCGCACGCAGGCGGUCUGUCAAGUCGGAUGUGAAAUCCCCGGGCUCAACCUCGGAAUUGCAUUUGAAACUGGCAGGCUAGAGUCUUGUAGAGGGGGGUAGAAUUUCAGGUGUAGCGGUGAAAUGCGUAGAGAUCUGAAGGAAUACCAGUGGCGAAGGCGGCCCCCUGGACAAAGACUGACGCUCAGAUGCGAAAGCGUGGGGAGCAAACAGGAUUAGAUACCCCUAGUAGUC